rnacentral:tRNA from 1 species
GGCCGCGUAGCGCAGUGGAUUAGCAUGUUAGACUUCGGAUCUGAAGGCUGUGGGUUCGAAUCCCACCGUGGUCG